rnacentral:misc_RNA from 1 species
UUUUAAAGGGCGUAAUGGCAG